UACGGAGGAGGCAAGCGUUAUCCGGCAUUCUUGGGCGUAAAGCGUCCGCAGGUGGCAGUUCAAGUCUGCUGUCAAAGACCGGGGCUUAACUUCGGAAAGGCAAUGGAAACUGAACAGCUAGAGUAUGGUAGGGGCAGAGGGAAUUCCUGGUGUAGCGGUGAAAUGCGUAGAGAUCAGGAAGAACAUCGGUGGCGAAGGCGCUCUGCUGGACCAUAACUGACACUCAGGGACGAAAGCUAGGGGAGCGAAUGGG
rnacentral:rRNA from 1 species